GGAGGCGUUGCAUAGAGGUUUAAUGCACCUGUCUUGAAAACAGGAGUACCGCAAGGUACCGUGAGUUCGAAUCUCACCGCCUCCG
rfam:Parcubacteria (Nomurabacteria) bacterium GW2011_GWA2_40_9 TT24_C0012, whole genome shotgun sequence.